AAUGUGUCUACUCUCUACGCCCAUUUUCCUCAUUCAGCUCCUCAUCUUUCCUAUGGUGCUGCUUCUUCUUCCUUUUUCUGGUUUCUUAACCCUUGCCCUACUUCAUCUUCCGUUCUUCAUCGUCAUUCCAAGGUCUUCCAAUAAUACCUUAUGUGCUUCUAGAGCAAAACCCAGUUGCGGGAAUUGUUUUUUGCAUAGAAGCAUCUAAAGUAUUAUAGGGAGUCUGAUUGAAAUAUGGGAUCCUGUUCUUUGGAUUCGGCCGUCUCCAUCUGCUCGGGCACCAAGUCUGUGUUUUGGGGGUUUUACAGGGAAGAGGUUAAGUGAAUUUAUGUCUGCAAAAUUUGAUUUGGAAAAGCUCCAUUCUCGGAUUGUCACACGUUUCAAUGCGUUUGUGGCCCAUAAGAUUUCUUGGAGCUAGCACUGCAAUUUGGAAAUAUUGGGUCGUGGAAUUGGCAUUACUCAGAUGGUGAAUUGGGUCAUGCAAAAUCAAGACCGAGUUAGCUGUCAACUAAGUCUUUUUACAUUUGAAAUUGAAGGGCUUGGUGCAAGGAUGACUUUUUGGAUUUUUAGCUAUCGCGGAGUAUGUGUUUGUAUAGCCAAUGUGAUAAAGAUCAGGGAGAUCACUGUACUGAAAGGGGUGACACUUAAAAAUGCCCAAUGUCAGGCAUGAAGAGUAGAUGAAAAUCAGAUUAAAGAUAACAAGUUACUGUUUCAGACUAGGGUGUUGGUGAAAGAUGAUUGUGAGAUCGUUCCGCAAUGAAGGGAAGGUGUCUUUUUUAAGUUGUUGGUUUGUUUAAAGGUAGCUUGUCAGAUCAUAUCAUAUGUUGCCUUCAAAACGAGGAAUUGGUGGUUAGGAUGAAAACAAUCAGGGAUUCUCUCUUCCUUUUUCUUGGGGCUUGAAUAAGGCGAGACACUCAGUUUAGUUGUGCAUGUUUAUCCGGAGGAAUGGAUGCAUCUCUUCAUGGCUGGUGGUGGAGGCGGGUCACUCGAUCGAGGAGAAAACUUCAGAGGGAAAACUGAUGGUAAGUCUCUUUCUAGGCAGUUUCGGGUCAUUUGUCUUUUUAACGCAUUGCACUGAAAAUUGAGGGCUCUUGUUAGUUUGUGCACCGGCAGCACUAACCCCAGAGUCUGUGUUUGUUUUCCUGCAUACAUCAGUGGAAAUUUGUACUGAGAUCUCUGCAUUUUAGGUGUUAUUGUGUUAAGCUGCAAGAUAUUUGAUCUGCAACCUAUGUGAACUAUACAUGAAUUGAACCAGUUAACUUCAUUCGACUGAGUAGGUUAUAUAACAUAUGUUAGUCAGGUCAUUAGAUAGGAAUUGAAGCCUCACUUGUUUGGUUGAUAUUGGAAAGAAACAUUAGUAAAACAAGGCUCUUGAAGUACAAAAAUUCAUUUUCUUUGUUCGAUUCUGCUGGUUUCUUUGAUAACUCCUCCUCUUUUCUUCUCUUUCAUGGCAGCCACUCUGCUUCUCCUCCUCUUCUCUUCUCUUCUCUUCUCUUCUCUGACAUUACUCUUCUUCGAAAUUAUUGAGUUUCGUUUCUUCGAUCUUCUCUCUCGUUGGUUCCAAAUUGGUUAUUCUCUUCUCUUCGAAAUUGGUUCUUCUCUUCUCUCUCAUUACUCUUAUGUGAUUAGCAAGGCCUUCCAAUAGUGCUGCUGCUAGGGUUCACGAUGAAAAUCUCAAAGUUGAGUAUCUCUCGUUUAUUUUCUAACUCUGUUAUUUCUCAAAAUGGUAGACAUGAUUGUGGAAAUAAUUUCCCCAUUUCGUUGCUUUUUAGUUUAAUUGGGUGUUUGAAUUUGUUGGGUUUAAUCGAGGGUUCGGAAUUGAAGGAUUGGAUUAGGGUCUGUGAAAAUUCAUGAAUCGAUAAUCGAUCUCUCCAUCUGCAAUUUUCUUCAACUUGGUGGUUUUCACCAUUUUCGAUCUCUCUUCUCUGACAUUCUCCGAUUCUUUUUUAUAUUUUUUAUUUGAUUUUUUGAUGGCAGCCAACAACAAGAUGUAUGUGAUUCAAAAGCUGGUGCUGAGCUUCUUGACUUGGUUCUUUGCAACAUAAUUUCUCUCUCUUUUAAUUUAUUUUUCGUUUCUUGAAUUUAAUUUAAUUUUGUGUAAGAAAUGGUUGGUAAUUAGGAAAAUGUUGGUAAUUAGUUUGAAUUGUGUAAAUUAGGUUAAUUUAAUACGGAGUGAUUUUGUUGGUUUGUUCGAUUAGGUACAUACUGGUAUAUUCAACGAGCCAAUGAGGAUCACAUUUGUUAUCGAAGUUAUUAUUUUAUCUUUCAGCAAUAUUGUAAAGGCCAAAUGUAGAAACAAAGUCCAAACAUAUAUUUUAUGGAGAGAAGGGAGAUUGGGUGCGGGCGGCGAGGUUGUGUACUAAAUUUUAGUUAUAGUCAAUAUUAUAGCACUUAUCAAUUACUAAAA